GACGAACGCUGGCGGCGUGCUUAACACAUGCAAGUCGAACGGAAAGGCCCUGCUUUUGUGGGGUGCUCGAGUGGCGAACGGGUGAGUAACACGUGAGUAACCUGCCCUUGACUUUGGGAUAACUUCAGGAAACUGGGGCUAAUACCGGAUAGGAGCUCCUGCUGCAUGGUGGGGGUUGGAAAGUUUCGGCGGUUGGGGAUGGGCUCGCGGCUUAUCAGCUUGUUGGUGGGGUAGUGGCUUACCAAGGCUUUGACGGGUAGCCGGCCUGAGAGGUUGACCGGCCACAUUGGGACUGAGAUACGGCCCAGACUCCUACGGGAGGCAGCAGUGGGGAAUAUUGCACAAUGGGCGGAAGCCUGAUGCAGCAACGCCGCGUGCGGGAUGACGGCCUUCGGGUUGUAAACCGCUUUCGCCUGUGACGAAGCGUGAGUGACGGUAAUGGGUAAAGAAGCACCGGCUAACUACGUG
rnacentral:rRNA from 1 species